rnacentral:rRNA from 1 species
AUGAACGCUGGCGGCGUGCCUAAUCCAUGCCAGUCGAGCGGACAGACGAGGAGUUUGCUCCUCUGACGUUAGCGGCGGACGGGAGAGUAACACGUGGAUAACCUACCUAUAAGACUGGGAUACCUUUGGGAAACCGGCGCUAAUACCGGAUAAUAUAUUCCACCGCAAGGUUCAAUAGUGAAAGACGGUUUUGCUGUCACUUAUAGCUGGAUCCGCGCCGAUUUAGCUAGUUGGUAAGGUAACGGCUUACCAAGGCGACGCUGCGUAGCCGCCCUGAGAGGGUGAUCCGCCACCCGGGAACUGAGACACGGUCCAGACUCCUACGGGAGGCAGCAGUACGGAAUCUUACGCAAUGGGCGAAAGCCUGACGGAGCGACGCCGCGUGAGUGAUGAAGGUCUUCGGCUCGUAAAACUCUGUUAUUAGGGAAGAACAAAUGUGUAAGUCACUAUGCACGUCUUGACGGUACCUAAUCAGAAAGCCACGGCUAACUACGUG